rnacentral:tRNA from 1 species
GGGCCCGUAGCUCAGCCAGGAUAGAGCACCGGUGAGAACCCGGGGGUCGCGGGUCCGAAUCCCGCCGGGCCCG